rnacentral:lncRNA from 1 species
ACACAUAAGGCAAAUAUCUCUAAUUAAUACUCGAAGUCCCAACUCUAAUUAACCGGCGAUUACUCUUUCCCUCUCUAGUCAGGUAAUGGGUAAAAGACCAUUUUACCCCUCCCUGACCUCUAUUACCUCUGUUGACCAAAACUCCCAAAGUCAACAUAAGACAACUCAAGUCAAUGGUCAACACUGACCAGACUCGGCGAGUACACAAGAGUGACUCGGCGAGUCCAUGCGGGUUCUCUAAAUCCUUUUUAAACCUCUUAGACACGACGAGUUCCCUCUCCACUCGUCGAGUUACUCGGCAACGAAACGCGGGGCAACCCCGACUCGACUCGUCGAGUCUGCCUAUGGACUCGGCGAGUUGCUCCCAUGACAACCCUCAUCUGACCUUCUGAGGUCAGAUCUGCUUCACCAAACCAUAGAUCUAACUCCCUCAAAGCCAAUAACCACGAAAAGGUCGAACCUUGGGCACUCAUGCAAGGUUCUACAAGCUCAUUUGGGUGAAACCCUUCAUUACAUAACAACCCUAGCUCAAAACUCCAAAUAGAAUGCAUAAAGCAGGAUGGAAGGGACUCUCUGGACCUCUUUGGGUCCAGAUCUAUGGCUUCACACUCAAUGGGACACUAUACUCCACCAAUCAAGCCAUAAAAGAAGCUAGAAAACCCUAAAAUCACCAAUCUUACCCAAAACAGAAAAGGGAGAACAAUUUGAUACCUCUAUGGUGAAGAUGCAAGCUCAGAAGCUCCGAAUCGACACCCCCUAACCUCCCUUUGCUGGAAAUGAGUACUCCAUUGCACACCCACCUCAAGAAUGCUCCAAAAUAGCUCUUCUUCACUCUCUCAGCUCUCUGGUUCGAUAGGAGUCUCUAGAAGGUGUAGGUGGCCACCACUGUAGGCCAUAAGGGCCUUUAAAUAGGUCCCAAACCCGAACAAUUAGGGUUUUCCUUGACAGCGCCGACUCGGCGAGUCCAAAUACCCGACUCGUCGAGUCCCUUCAUUAAAUUGGUCCCCAAAACGUGAUCCUACUCGACGAGUUAAAGCGUCAACUCGCCGAGUCUCCUCAUUCCCCAAUAUAAAAUACUCAAAUUCCCAUACCUGGAUAUUCAGGUGUUACAAUUCUCCCCCACUAGAAUCAUACUUCGCCCUCGAAGUCUCAUUUUGGAAACAACUCCAGAUGCUGCUCACGCAUCUCGCGCUCCGGCUCCAAGUAAGCNAAAAUGAUCCUCAUACCACCUAGAUAUCUUUCUCUAGAGACAUCCAAAAUCACAUGGAACCUCCAAAACAAAGUCUGAACCAUCACUUUCGCCGCUAGAAAUACGCCUUCCUAAUAACCGGAAACUCCAGUGGCCUGACCCGCCUCCAGACCGCCUACUCGAGCGAUCACCAUGAUAAUUGCUCCUCGUAACAACCCUGUUUUCUCACUAGUUUUCCGAUUCUCAUACGACCAUAUCCCACAACCGACCAUCUCUCCUCCAAAAUGAUAAUGCAAUAACUGACGAACCCCACCCCUGCGAAUAAAAGGGUUCACACUGCAUCGGGGCACAUCUUCUAAAACUGCUAUCAGAACCAUCCGAACCAAAAAUCCCGACACUCUGCCCUCAGACACAGAAGCAUAACCAUGCUUGCUCAGAAGUGUCCUCAACAUCUCAUUCAUAAGCCUUCGCUAUAAAUUCCAUAUCUCUUUUAACACCACACGAGGUCUGACCUCAGCCUAAAAAUUAAACCUCCAUGGUUACCGAUAAUCAUGAUCCAAAAUGUCUCACCGAAUUCCUCCUCGCAUCAACUAUCUCAGCCCAAUGGCACACCAGUCACGAAAUUCUCAUUAACUCAUACAAGGACUGCAACCUAACCGAAGAUCAACUCAACCCCGACCACAGAUGUUAGCUACGCACAUCUCAUGUGCAUCUCGCGAUAUCUCUUGCACCCGAGUACUGACCUAUACAGAUAAAAAUAUCCGACGAUAACAAUACCUCCCAACCGAGAAUUUACCUUAGAAGUCUAGAAUCUCAUCUCGAUAUCCUCCCAUUAUUAAAGCUAAACUCAACUCGAGAGUUUGGGUCCGACCCAAAGUUGAAACCUCGUUUCCCAAUAAAACAUUGGUCUCAUGACUCACCCUACGCCCCGCGCGAAUACCAUUUCCCAAUUUCCUCAUGCUGCAACAAACACAGCUCAACUCAAAUCAAAAUAUAAUAAUUCCCGAGAGAGAAGGAGAUCCCCGUCUCGCCCCUCGCCUAACCACCAAGAUCCAACAACUCGAUACUAGGCUACUCGAGCCUAAAACUCCUCUACGUCAUACUCUGAUCGGAGAACACUUCAUCAUCACACUCUCUUGCCGCCUAGAAUACUACGGCUCCUCAACAUCACCAAAAGCUUUUGACCAGUGAGUACUACGGCUCCCCGUAGCAUCACAACACCCUCUCCCAUUACCCCAUAAUCUAAUUCUCAUACCACACCACACUAUGUCCACUAGCUCAUGCUCCGCGGACUAUCAUAGAUAUCUACACAGACUUGCCCCAAUUAUGCAUCAUAAAUUAUGACGACAACCAUAAUAAUAAAAUACCUCUUUCUUCAGAAAAUCCACAUUCUUAAAUAAUCCUUCCUGAUGACACUCCCAAGGCUCCCACUGGAACCAUAGAUACUUGAUACAGUACAAGUCGUCUCAACUCAAGAUUCUCGAAUAACUCCGAAAUCAAGAUAUCACACCCGGAUACCUCGGAACACCCCAACAGAACAUCACAAGAUCCUACCACAACCACUGAUCUCCUGCCCCAAGCAUCAUAUAGAUACAAUGAUACAUUUCCUCUAAACGCCAUAAUUAAAUCUUCAUUUUUCCCAAUGUGCAACCUCGAUGUAUCCAAAUACUCAAUUGGAACACGAGAAAACGCUAACGCUACGGAAUACACUGAUAAUUCUCCGAAACCCUUUUUCCUGCCACUUAAAAUCCAAGCAAGAAAUACGCAUACCGACCCUGGAGUUGGCAGCUCAAUCAUUCUCUACCUACUUGCAACAACCCUGACCACAACUAGGUCCUUGACUAAUGACCACCUGCCGUGGAGACAUUCAUCCUUCUCAAACAAGUACUUCCUGCAUUAGCUCACUCUGACCCUUUCCUCGGUCACCAAUAACUUUGGUCUCAUGAAUUCUUACCGCGGAUCUCUAUACCCCUUUUAUAACUGCUCUUGACAAAUCUCUGCUUUCUUCCAUACGGUACCCGGUUCUCCCCCACUCAGGGUUCGAACCAUCACUAAUUGGCACACAACCAUCCCACAAACUAUUUUUACCAGCAAAAUCGCACCUGCCCCUGGAAAGUGCUACGCAACGCCCGAUAAUCUCCUUUAAGGAAAUCAAUUGAUCUCAUAUACUCUGAACCUCAGAUGAAAUCCUCAAGAACUUCUCGUCACGACUGCCUCUAGUCAUUCCAAGUCUCGUACCAAUCCAAUACCAAACAAAUCAACUGACCAAUAACAUCACUGACUCAUAGACUGAACCACGAAAUCAUCAUACUCCCCCGCCUCGACUCAUCAACCAACAUUCCAACACAUGGAUCAUCCCAAGAACAAGGACCCACUCCCAUUUUCAAUACCCAACAUAGAUAGAAAAACCACUGCACUGAUAAACUCGACUGGACACCCCACUGAUACCACUACAAUACGCCCUACUAUACUCAAAUAGGUGUAACGUGGUCCUCGACUAUCUCAGUCCCAACUGACUAUCUGCUCAUGAUAAAUCACUAUCUCGCGGCACACAUGAUACCUGAUACUCUGGUGGAAAAUCAUCAUCAUUGACAACCUGCAGGGUUUACCCCCAAACCCAAAACAUAAACAUCAUGCCUCUCAUGUUUCGCACACGAACAUAAAUAGCACCACCCAGGUCAUAGAAGGUGACAUCUCCUCUAUCGACUGAGUGCUCAACUCAGACCGAAAUUCUCCCCUCCCUCUGACUCCUUACCAAAAUACUCUGAAAGGCUCUCGACUUCCCUCUCAAGGGAUGCCUCUUCGAACUCAACCAUGGCCCAUAGACCUAAAACUCAUAGCGUCCAAAUCUCUACCUCAUUAAUCAUGACCGGAUAACCGGAGAACCACAAGCAUCAUUCACUACGAACCAUGGUACUCAUCCCAUGACAUCUCUUCUCAAUAUGCUCCGGUGUAUGGUACCCAAACCAUAGCAUCUCUCAUCCAUCUGCUCCGNAACCAUAACAUCACUCCUCCAUCCACUCCGACGUAUGGUACUCAAACCAUAACAUCACUCCUCCAUCCGCUUCGACGUAUGGUACUCAAACCAUAACAUUACCCCUCAAUCCGAUCCGAUGUAUGGUACUCAAACCAUAACAUAACUCCUCAAUUCGCUCCGAUGUAUGGUACUCAAACCAUAACAUCACUCCUCGAACCAUAACAUCACUCCUCAAUCCGCUCCGAUGUAUGGUACUCGAACCAUAACAUCACUCCUCAAUCCGCUCCGAUGUAUGGUACUCGAACCAUAACAUCACUCCUCAAUCCGCUCCGAUGUAUGGUACUCGAACCAUAACAUCACUCCUCAAUCCGCUCCGAUGUAUGGUACUCGAACCAUAACAUCACUCCUCAAUCCGCUCAUUAGAACCUUCAGAAUACUCCCUGUAUCAAGUAUGGGUCCUCUGAUUUCAGUAGUACGGGCCCAUACUACCUGCCACAUCUACCCAUACUUUCCACACUGACUAUUCCGAAGCUCCUAAGUAGUUACUCGACCUUCUCGUUCACCAAUCCCGUCGUGUGUGCUCCCUCCCCAGCGAAAUUCUCUACUCUGCCAACACACUCAUCUGGCUAAGGUUACUCCCUAGGCUCUUCCUAGAUUCCCACACUUCUCAGCCAUCAGCUGCUAAAGAACUCCUAAUGAUGCCAGCCAUCUACCUCCUGAAUAUCGUCAUAUUCACUUAGUAGCUGACUCCCAUUAUUGAGAGCUCCACAAAGCACGAAGCAAAUAGCAUUCAGGCAUUAAAGCGUCCACUUCAGCACGAAAAACCUCCUUAGGUUAUUAUCCACUCGCUUUCCUCAUACCUGAUGGAUAUCACUGAACUCUAACAACUCCGCCCCACGUGGGCAUCUGGCUACCCUCUCGGCAAGCUCCUCAUAUGCUCAUAUAGAUACCUCUUCCAUAUUACUCUCCUACUCGAAUCCCCUAAAAAAAUUUCCUAUUGGACACUCUCGCUCAGCACAUACUCGAAAGCACAUCAAAUAUAAUAGCAACCCUAGGCUAAGGCAUCACAAAUCAGGCCACUCUAGUCCUAAAAUAUGAAUUGCCUAGCCUGUCUCUAGCAUGCAUAAUAUCUCAUAAAAUGUAUCACAAAUAUCUCAUAACACAAAAUAAGGGUGUUUUGGGAAAUCACCGUUCGGGCUCUGGCUGAUUGUACACACUGCUCUUUUUGCUUUCUCUUUGAAACUCUUAUUCUCUUAUAAAAAACAUUUCUUUUUGAAAAAAUGUCUUAAAUCCUCAGUUUGAGUCUAGAUUUACCCGAAGGUGCAUCCGAAUCCCUCAAACCAAGGCUCUGAUACCAACUUGUAACACCGUAAAUUUCAAAACAAUUUUCAUUUAAAAAUAAUCGUUUGAUUCUUAAAAAUACUUUUCUUAAAAUCCCAUUCAUAAUCGAAUUACAAAACAUGACUCCAUUUUCACUUGCAUAAUAAACCAGGAUCCUCAACACAUGACUCUUUCUCUGGUGUGUACAAUCGAGCCGGCGCCAUCCCGUGAUCCUGAGAGAAACCUGAAACACAUAACACAAAACACUAUAAGCACGAAGCUUAGUGAUUUCCCCAAAAUACCACAAAUAACACAUAUUAGCCACUCGAGGCUAUAACUAUGUGGGUUCGUGGACCCUACUCUAUGAACCUUCCGGUUCUAACUCUGUGAACCUUCCGGUUCUAACUUUGGGAACCUUCCGCUUCUAACUCUGUAAACAUGCACAACAUAAAUCACAUAGAAAUAAUGCAGUACAACACAUAACAUACAUAGCAUACGAAUACUCUGUCACAUAACUCUGGUUACCUACUCAAGGUAAAGUAUAGUGAGAAGACUCACCUGGCAAUCAGAAAGCAAUUAUCUGCACAUGCGAACCUCGGACUCGCCACCGCCUAACACAUAAGGCAAAUAUCUCUAAUUAAUACUCGAAGUCCCAACUCUAAUUAACCGGCGAUUACUCUUUCCCUCUCUAGUCAGGUAAUGGGUAAAAGACCAUUUUACCCCUCCCUGACCUCUAUUACCUCUGUUGACCAAAACUCCCAAAGUCAACAUAAGACAACUCAAGUCAACGGUCAACACUGACCAGACUCGGCGAGUACACAAGAGUGACUCGGCGAGUCCAUGCGGGUUCUCUAAAUCCUUUUUAAACCUCUUAGACACGACGAGUUCCCUCUCCACUCGUCGAGUUACUCGGCAACGAA